rnacentral:tRNA from 1 species
AGAAAUUUAGGCUAACAAAACCAAGAGCCU